rnacentral:rRNA from 1 species
AGCAGCCGCGGUAAUUCCAGCUCCAAUAGCGUAUAUUAAAGUUGUUGCAGUUAAAAAGCUCGUAGUUGAAUUUUGGAUUCUUCCAAUUGGUCCAUCUUUUAGAUGAGUACUGGUUGUGUGGGGUCUAUCCGCCUGGUGAUACGUAAUGUCCUUUAUUGGGUGUUACGGGUAGUCAGGACCUUUACCUUGAAAAAUUAGAGUGUUUAAAGCAGGCUUAUGCCGGAAUACAUUAGCAUGGAAUAAUAGAAUAGGACGAAGUUGUUUUAUUUUGUUGGUUUCUAGGACAACCGUAAUGAUUAAUAGGGAUAGUUGGGGGCAUUAGUAUUCAAUUGUCAGAGGUGAAAUUCUUGGAUUUAUUGAAGACUAACUACUGCGAAAGCAUUUGCCAAGGAUGUUUUCAUUAAUCAAGAACGAAAGUUAGGGGAUCGAAGACGAUCAGAUACCGUCGUAGUCUUAACCAUAAACUAUGCCGACUAGGGAUCGGGCGAUGUGUUUCCAUGACUCG